UGUAAAGUAGUUUAUAAAAAUGUCUGUUUUACACACAGGAGAACUCGUUUGAGCUUUACUAUGG
rnacentral:tRNA from 1 species